UACGUAGGGGCAAGCGUUAUCCGGAUUUACUGGGUGUAAAGGGAGCGUAGACGGUAUGGUAAGUCAGAUGUGAAAGCCCGGGGCUCAACCCCGGGACUGCAUUUGAAACUAUCAAACUGGAGUGCAGGAGAGGUAAGUGGAAUUCCUAGUGUAGCGGUGAAAUGCGUAGAUAUUAGGAGGAACACCAGUGGCGAAGGCGGCUUACUGGACUGUAACUGACGUUGAGGCUCGAAAGCGUGGGGAGCAAACAGGAUUAGAUACCCCGGUAGUCCUGAGCGGGCU
rnacentral:rRNA from 1 species